rnacentral:rRNA from 1 species
GACGAACGCUGGCGGCGUGCUUAACACAUGCAAGUCACGGGGGCCCGCGAGGGCAACCGGCGAACGGGUGCGUAACACGUGAGCGACCUGCCUUUCCGCGGGGGAUAGCCGGCCCAACGGCCGGGUAAUACCGCAUACGCUGCUUUGGGGGCGAUCCCUGAAGUAGGAAACCUCCGGGGCGGAGAGAGGGGCUCGCGACCUAUCAGCUAGUUGGCGAGGUAACGGCUCACCAAGGCGGCGACGGGUAGCUGGUC